UACAAAGUUACACAAGAAGAAUUGGCCCUUGACCAGCCUGAUUGGUUGCAGGAGGGGACCAAUCAGAGGUACCUCCCAUUUUUCAUCUGCAGCCCAAUGCAAAGUAAUGACAUGGAUCUGGAGAGAUUCUCUUAGGAGAGAAUCUGGCUAAGUGUCUAGCAGGAUGAUUGAUUAACAAGAUGUUUUGUUUUCAUCAUCUCAGAGAUAACUGUAUUGAGGUAUAAUUGAUAUGCCAAAUAACUGGACACAUUCAACUUGUGCAAUUUGAUGAGUUUGGAGAUACACAUACAUCUGUGAAACCAUCACCAAAAUCAAGAACAACUUUCUCUGAUCUCUGUGGACAUGCUUAAAAUGGCUGACUCACACAGCAAGACUAUUUAACUGUGCCUAAAAUCAACCCACAUUCAGAUGCUAACUGUAAUCCUAUUCCCUGAUCCAUCAGGAAAAAGAGUCUGAUUGACAUAACUUGUCAAGUGUUCGCCCCAGCUUCUAUCAACUAUGGGGAAGGAAGGGCCAGAAGAGGUGUAACCAUCAUGGCUACCAGGUUUCGAAAUAUUUACAUUACAUACUGCAUUUAUUAAAAUACAAAUUAAAUCUGCAAUAAAAAACUAAUUGACCAUUCUCUGG
rnacentral:lncRNA from 1 species